rnacentral:rRNA from 1 species
UACGUAGGGUGCAAGCGUUGUCCGGAAUUACUGGGCGUAAAGGGCUCGUAGGCGGCCAACUAAGUCAGACGUGAAAUCCCUCGGCUUAACCGGGGAACUGCGUCUGAUACUGGAUGGCUUGGAUUCGGGAGAGGAAUGCGGAAUUCCAGGUGUAGCGGUGAAAUGCGUAGAUAUCUGGAGGAACACCGGUGGCGAAGGCGGCAUUCUGGACCGACAUUGACGCUGAGGAGCGAAAGCCAGGGGAGCAAACGGG